UUUGGUAUGUUCUAUAUUUACACCAUACCGCUAUGUUUAAAGCUGUGUUACAUCAUAUUUUAAAAGAACAUCACGCCACGCUUAGCGAGAUUGUUAUACAAAUACUCUGAUAUCAGUUCAUGCGAUUGUAUAUGCACUGGUCAGCUUAGAGACGACGACACGCUCCCUCUUUAGAAACCGAGGUUAAAAUACUUUAGUUUCGUUAUUGAAAAUUAAAAGACAAGGAUUGAUUUGGUGAGACACAAGAAUCGAAAUGAUGCUGCCGUUUGGAAGACGAUUCAACAUGAUAUAUAUACUUCUCUUGCUUUUAAUCAUGCUGCCAGCUGGAUCAUUUUCCCCAAUAUUUUCAUGUAUUGAAAACAAUUCAAAUUCUAAAGUAGUUGUUGGUAUGUUAGAACAGUUUUGUAAUCAAGUUAGAAACAUAAAAAUGAGAGUUUGUUUUGGGGAUUUACGACGGAAGAAUAAAAGAAAUAAAGAUAAAUGUCUGCGAAAGGCGAAUGAGCAAAAAAGAAAGUGCUGUAAGAGAAUGUCAUUAAGAAAAUGAUGUUUGAUUGCAUUCAAUUAUUUCAUAUCAUAUUUAUUUACGAUCUAGUUCGUCAAUACAACCUAUCAUUGGGUCAAAUGCUGUCUGACAUGUUUCAUACCAAUUGUUAGACCGUUCUUGGCACACUGAUUUUGACUACGGAUAACUCUGUUUACCUGAUUAGGAUAUAGGGCUCACAGCGGGUGUGACCGGUCGACAGGGGAUGCUUACUCCUCCUAGACACCUGAUCUCACCUCUGGUGUGUCCAGGGGUCCGUGUUUGCCCAACUAUCUACUUUGUAUUGCUGAUAGGAGUUAUGAGAUUGAUCACUGUUCGUUAUCUUCACCUUUCAUUUAUUGGUUUUAAUUGUAAGAGAGAUUGUACCCUUUUUAGUGGAGAUUUCAAAUGAAUGUAGUCUAAUAUGUUUCAUUGAAUCAUUAUUCCUCGUUCGAAACAUGGCAAAAUGGUUCACUUGUGCAGCAUUGAGAAGAUCCAGAGAAACAAUGGUGAUAUGAAGAAAGUGAUGAAAGAAAGCAUAUAUAUAUAUAUAUAUAUAUAUAUAUAUAUAUAUAUAUAUAGCAACAAUAUGAGAGUAUCAUGGAACAGUACACCCUGUAAGAAUAACAACAAGCUAUGGCAAUUGGAAGAAGACGCUUUCAGCGAGAGCGAAAUAAUCUACAAACGCCUUUGAGAUUUUCAUGUCUGACAUCUUCCAGGGAUAAGAAUAAAACGAAGUUAAAGAAAUUAGAAGAAGAUGCGUGAAUGCUCAAGGAGGCAACAAUGAAAGAAUAGAAUGUGCAUCCAAAUCCCUUUCAAAGAAAAUAAGGUGCAUCAAUCUGAUGGCGUGGUGCAGUUAUAACGUAAAUUGCAAAGAGGUGGUUUUUCGGGAACCUUUACUACAACUCUCUCCAAAGACUUGGUUUAGUGGUAUUGACGGCUUCGUUAGCGAUCAGUAACCCUCAUCGACACUUGAAUAUUUGUAUCGCUAUUGUGAGGUGAAGUGACUGAUGUCAACAGUUCAUUACCUUGGAAACCUAGGUAUAUACCACUAUGAUGUGAUCAUUGAUAAGGAUAUCCCGAAGAACUCAAGGAAACUUAUGCCACUUGAAGGGAAGUUUUCAAACUUUGUGUGAUGGACCCCAUCGAAAACGAAGCUCAACACAGAUGUCGUUUGAUCUUAAUCCUUAUUAAACGAAAGAUUUUGACAUAGCAAUAAAGACUAUUAUAUUAUGACAAAUAUGGCAUAUCGCUGACAGAAUACCAAUCACCGCCACUUGUUGAUGUUUAGCGAUGUAUGCAAUUCAUAUACAAGCUAUGUUAUAUUUUUUCACAAUAAAAGUUACCAAAAGUUGUAGUUGUAUCAAAUCAGAUAUGAGACCAAAGGUGUGGUCCUGUGCAAAACAAAAAUAUCCUUUUCGUGGAUUUGACAGCCUGGUGUAAGUAACAGUUAUGUCCAUCCUUAUCGUAACUACAACCGGCAUCAUUUCUGUAUAAAUAUUCAUUUUGUUUGUUUAUUUUACGUCCUGUCGAGAAUAUAUUUAUUUUGUGCGUUUGUGUGUGUUUAUAUUACCUGCAAGGUGCAAAUCAAAAGAGAAUGUUUUUUGUUCCUUUCUAAAAAUAAUUUAUUGUAUUUGUAAAGUUUUCAAAAAGGUAUUGAGAGAGAGAGAGAGAGAUGUGUAAACAAACUUUUCCAGAACUCCCAGUUAUUACAAAAAUCCACUUGUUUGUUAUUUUCAUAUAUAAUAUAUUUACUUGUUUUAUACAUAAUCUUGAUAGAAGACAUCAAUCCAGUCAAAAAGAGACUCAUGCCUGCACAGUGAUCACUAUUAUGAAAAAAUUUGUUUGAAGAGCAAUGAUAUUUUUACUAUACGAUGUAUCCACAGAUUGUGAAAUAAAUCUUUUUUGAACAAGUAA